rnacentral:sRNA from 2 species
CUGUAUUCCCGACGGAAGAGAACAUGCUCUUUCAUAAUACAGCUUCCUAUGUGAAAUAUGUGGAAGCUGAAUGGCAGCAAAUUUU